UAGGGAAUCUUCCACAAUGGACGAAAGCCUGAUGGAGCAACGCCGCGUGUGUGAUGAAGGGUUUCGGCUCGUAAAACACUGUUGUAAGAGAAGAAUGACAUUGAGAGUAACUGUUCAAUGUGUGACGGUAUCUUACCAGAAAGGAACGGCUAAAUACGUGCUAG
rnacentral:rRNA from 1 species